UUUGGUUUUAUUUUGAUUUAUUUUUAUUUUCGGGUUUUCGCACACACAAACGACAAAAACAAAAGUAAUUCUUUUAAUAUGAGUGAAACACGCGUUGCUCUCCGCUCGCGGCUCGGAUUCGAAAUGAAGAACUUCAACGGCUGCGCAUGCGAUGCCCCAAUUGGGCCCCAAGCAAAGCCAGAGAGAGGGAGAGGACACUUUUUUCCAUUGUGUGCGUCAGUACAGGGUGUUGUAUACACAGAGAGCGCACUCACGACAAGCCUGAGAACGAGUGUACCGCGUUAUAACUGUGAGUUUAACGAAGACGACGACGAGAGAGAGCGAAGAGAGCGUGUGGGUACAAUUAUAAAAUUACAUAGCUGUUAAGGUCGCUGAGGACAGCCAGCUGUGACGUCACAAUUAACCAAUCAAGUUUUGCGAUAUGCAAAACCGCAGGCACCACCAACAAAGCCAGUGACAAAUGCACACACGCAAAACAGCAACACAGCAGAUAGACAGAUAGAGCCAAGCGCAUACACGCAAGACUGGGAGAGAGACAGACAGAAGACAGACAGACAAAGAGAAACUGCGAUUGCAUCCCCAGCACCUGUCAUCAACGUUGUAAACCGAUGAUCUCCUCCAGAUGCCAGAUGGGGAAUGAGAGAAUAAGAAAGAGACGCAGAAGAAGCAGCAGCAAAAAACGCUUAACCCACAUCUCGCUAUGAUUGUUGCCUGGGCGAGGGACUAACGCUGCAACAUUUUUAUGAUCUGCGAAUCUAUGGAUUUUCGUUGCAAACUUCGAGAAGCAACAAAAUUUACUUGACUUGGCUGCUAGAGAUGGACUGUGGAAAAAUUUCACGAGCUUCCCUGUGAUAUUUCACUAUCGAGUGCUAGAGCUUCGGGCCCGAGUCGCUUGCAAUGAGCGUGUGAAGCUGGCCUGCAAGCUGGUAGAAGUCAGCGCUGGCCCUGGACCAACAGUCCGAUAUGAUCUACUAUGCCCAUGGCAAGUGAAUCGAUGGAAAGAACAAAAAAACCCUUGUUUCCAUGCACAUCUCGCAAGUAAUCUUGCAUUGCCGCCUGGGGGGGUUUUGUGUACUGUCUGGACGACAAGACCUGACUGGAGAAAGAGCGUUGUUCCGCGGAGCUGUAGCGUAUGCAGCAGAUCACCGACAUCACUGCCGUGUGGACAACGGAUGCACAGUCGCACCAAGUGCUCCAAGCAUCUGAUGCUGCUGGAGGACAAGGCGCGUAUCCGGCCUAUGAGCCAGAUCAUUUCACGUGCGCGGCCCCAGUGGCGGGGAAUAGUGACAUGAACAAGGACUGCAUACCCGCCUCCUGACGCUGUGACGGCCAAAAGGACUGCCCAGACAAGUCGGAUGAGGUGGGCUGUCCCACCUGCCGGGUGGAUCAGUUCAGCUGCCAGUCCGGCGAGUGCAUCCACAAGGCCCUGGCCUGCGAUGGUACCACCAACUGUGACAACGGCCACGAUGAGGUCGACUGCUGCAAGCGGCUAGGAGAAUUUCAGUCUCCCAUCAACAAGUAAAGCACGCCGUCAAGCAUGCCCUUUUAAAGAAUUUAAAAAUUCAAUAGAGAACCUGCUGGACAUUGCAUUCGAGGUGCAACGCGACCAAGCUGCGGAUGAAGAUGGAGCGAAAAGACUCUGGACGAGUGUGCCAGGUUACCACCUUCCACAAUGCCGUCUACAAGGACCCCAGGUCCGAAGACGAUACUGCAGCGGAGUAUAAUCCGGUGAAACAGUCCAAGAGCUCGAGAGGCAUCGGGAUCUGUGUGCGUCGGACCAGACAGCUCGCCUACUUGCGUACCCAGCCGCGAGUAAAGUGAGGAGCUCAGCUAAAGGUUGAGCUGGCCAACGAUGUCUGCUGAAACAGUAUCUUCAUAUUAAAAUAACGAAAUAGGAAAUACAAAGGCCUAUACUACGGCUUACACGCAACAUUUCUUCAAAUACCAGCAACAUGGCGACUG
rnacentral:tRNA from 15 species